GGCGAUUGGGCCCGAGUUUGAUCCUGGCUCAGAGCGAACGCUGGCGGCAGGCUUAACACAUGCAAGUCGAGCGGGCGUAGCAAUACGUCAGCGGCAGACGGGUGAGUAACGCGUGGGAACGUACCUUUUGGUUCGGAACAACACAGGGAAACUUGUGCUAAUACCGGAUAAGCCCUUACGGGGAAAGAUUUAUCGCCGAAAGAUCGGCCCGCGUCUGAUUAGCUAGUUGGUGAGGUAACGGCUCACCAAGGCGACGAUCAGUAGCUGGUCUGAGAGGAUGAUCAGCCACAUUGGGACUGAGACACGGCCCAAACUCCUACGGGAGGCAGCAGUGGGGAAUCUUGCGCAAUGCGCGAAAGCGUGACGCAGCAACGCCGCGUGCGGGAUGAAGGCCUUCGGGUUGUAAAGUCCUUUUAACGGGGAAGAUAAUGACGGUACCCGUAGAAUAAGCCCCGGCUAACUUCGUGCCAGCAGCCGCGGUAA
rnacentral:rRNA from 1 species